CAAAGAUCAGUGCAUGGAGAAGAAAACCUUCUAUUAAUACUCUCUAUGAAAGUGUCUGCAGUUACAUUGUUACACUGUUAACCUUGAAGUCAGGAUCUGCUGAUGCCAAUGCAAGGUCCCCUGACCUUUUUUUCUUUUUUCUGACCCUUCUUUUCAGAAAGGGCAGUCUGCAUGAUCAGCUCCACUCUUCGCUUUCUUGCAUGUUCUCACGAACACACAUAACAAACUCUUUAGCUGCUCUCUUAACUCCCUCAAAGUCCCUUGCACACUUCAUACACUAUCCUCUGUUCCUUCAAACAGAUGCUUAACUGUGAUAACCUCUAUUUCUCUUGUCUCUAAGUAAAGAGGAGUAGUAUGCUCCAGGGGUGGACUGGGACCAUAAAUCAGGCCAGGAGUUUGGCUCCAUCCAGGCCAGGCCAAUACACAUUGACGCGGAAAUGCUGGCACUGACAAAAAGUUUUGGACAUUUGGACAUUUUGAAUUCAACAUUGACUACAUAACUGCAAAUUUAAUAUGAAGUAAAAACAAAAUGGUAAUAAAAACUCUGUAUUAGUCAUGCCUUUAUGUAUUUGUUUACUCAUUUAAACUCAGAAUGUAGCCUACCGCAUUGCUGUUGUAUUAUAAUAAAAUGUUGAAAGCCUGUCAAAAAAAGUCAAAGUUCUUGAGAGGCGUAAAACUUGAAAUUAGCACGCACUACUAGCAUUGUAGCCAUCUUGGUGUCGGUCGAUGACCUUAUUGAACUCAAAACAAUCACAUCUUAGAGCGACUGCAUGCACGCCAAACCACCAGGAAUUGGCCGGGUGAUCCCGAUGGUCCAGUCCACCACUGGUAUGCUAAAAAAUUAGCAGUGAGAACUGUCUCAUACUUCAAGAGUCCUUCCAUGUGUCCCCAUGACUCGGUCCUCACAGUUGGCUUAACGACAUUGCUUCCUGAGGAUUCCCAAAGCACCCAAACACUUAACUCAGAGCUUGAUCCUCAGCCACGGACUGCCCACCACCUAGUUUGUCCUACUGGGCACAGCCUUUUAUGAUGCUUGUCCUGACUUGUCUCUUCCCACUUUUGCAUAUGCUUGUAUGACUCUCCUAUGAAAUCCUUAUGAAGCAUUAAGAAAAGUGUUGCACUUUGUACAACACUCCCCACCGUGUCAGCCAAGACAAGAUUCAAAAGUUGUGCAUAACAACAUGAAUGAAUCUGAUUGGGAGACGGCUCAGAGAUUGGCUGUACCAUCAGUUAACAUGUCCAUAUUGAGUUCCAGCAGAACUUUUUCCAAGAGUAAAAUGCUUCCCUGUUGACCCAGAGUCCACCAUGGCAAGGAGUCCUUCAAGUAUGACAUAUCUUAGGAUGAUGGAGCUCUGGUCUAAUACUUGGACUGUGUCCACCUGGGCUAAAAACAUGCCAGCCUGCCAAACUGCUUCUUUAACAGUUGUCUUAAUCAGUUUGCUGAUGACACCCAUGACAUUGUUGCAUGUGUCUUUUGCCCUUUGAGUGAGUUUUCAUGCUGCUUCUUACUAUUUUCUGUGCACGUGUUCACACGCUGUUGAAGGCAAGUAUCAUACCUAUUUAGGAGCAGUAUCAACUCUAGAACAAGGCCAUGAUUUACAGCAGUGUUUUAGGGCUUCCUCUCUAUUCCCUCUAUAACUGAUGCUUUAUAACUUUAAUGGUGUCUACAAUGUGCUCCAUCACCUAACUUUUCUCUUUACUUGCUCAGCCUGUGAUGACAUGUGGUUGCCUGUCAGCAGACUCUUGAUGGCACUAUCUCUGUGUGUCUUUCUUUUCUCAUGUUCUGCGAUCCUUUGUUUCGUGUGUUUCCAGGUAUUCAUACCUCUCUUUAUGAAACGGCUAUCACUAAUCACAGGUGUGAAUGCCAGGCUGACUGAACAGAACAGAAAUUUGUCUUUUCUUUAAUAAAAUUUAAGACACCUGCAGUUUCUUCAUCUUCCUCACCUGGUGCCUUUACAGCGAGCUGUGAGUUUGUUUUAAUGAAUAACUUAUUCAAUUUUGCUCAUUGGGCGUUGUUACCUUCGAAAGAGCUUCUUUUGUUAUUCCAUCUAUUUCAGCGCCACCUAUGCUCUUCCUCUUGGACCUAUUCAUCCCAUUAUACUUCCACCUCCUAGACAGAGCAAUUAACUGACAUCAAGGGAGAAAAUCAUGAUUACGCAAGCAAAGUAAAGCUUCGGUCUCCAGUUGAGACCCAAGUGGAAACUGACCACCUUGAUUCAGACCAACUGCUGAUUGGCUGUUGGACAACAUAACUGUCAGCAAAUGUAACAUGGAAUAUGCGUAAUCAUAGUGUACCCUGUAUGAGUGCAGACCGUUCAGUUACGUUAUUGAGGUGACCUCAAUAAGAAGAAAGACUGGGGUCAAGGUCCCUACACACCGGGGCCCACAUGACUAUAGGACACAAAAUUACAAAAUAUUUGGAGGAGAAUUUUGAUGCGCCUGACUAAACACAUCAAGCCCGGUGCGAUUUUGCGACUUUCCGGGGGGGAAAAGACACAUUCCAGGUCGAAGCGAGAAGACUGACAUAAUAGCAGACUGAGUGUUUUUCAGUUCUGAUUACACACUAGUGUUGAGAUGGCUGUCUGUCAUGAUAGCAUGUACUGAGUCUGGGCCAGUACCAGAUAAGCACGUUAAACUAUAAUCCAUAAAUGUAAGGUAACAACCGAGACCUAAUGGUGCUGUGACAGCAACGAUUGAGUUUGAGACAGUGAAAAUACAUAUGGUAUAUUGUAUCUGAACAGGUUAGCUUAUGAGCUAAAGUUACUUAGCACAGAUGAAAAUUAAAACAAAUACGUUUAGCAAACUGUUAAAGCACACAAACCAUCGUCAUAUGAGAAAUCCGACGCUAUGACUCUCCCCAAGAUGUCCUUCAGGUCGUUAUCUUUGUAAUGUUUGUGCCUUUAUCAAAAAGCGUAAACAAUCGACCGGUCGGCCAUGUUGGAUAUAGCCUACCGGUGAAUCAGACGUCGCAACAACACACAAUCUGAUUGGUCAGAAGUGGACACACAGUAUGCGAAAUUUUAGAAAAAUUGGCCAUGAUCUGAAAAAAUAAAUGCUGCAAUAUCGUAGGACGGGAAAACAUCGCUGAUGUGAACGCUUGUAUUGACAGGAUACGGGUUUGAAAAAAAAUGUUGUGUAAGGACCUUUAGUUUGUGAUAAUAGCUGUGAUGAUUGUUACUUUGAUCAGGCCUCCUCCUCCUCCUCCCCUCCUCUGUGACAGGAGUGUGUGUCUGCAGCAUUUCUGAUCAUCUGCAGUAACACAAUCUGAGCUUAAUAACAUCUCUUCAUAAACCUGAGGAUGACACAUCCAUUACUGAACGGAUACACUUUAUCCCUCUGUAGCAUGUUCUCUCUGUCCCACACACAUACACACACACACACACACACACACGCACACAGCUCUUUUUCCACUGCAUGAUACGUGUUUGAAUGUGUGUGUGCAGUUGACAGGUUUACAUGAUUAGAUAUCUACACACAGGAUGCAUGUUUAUUCAAAGCUCUGCAUUAUUAACUCAGAGGAUGGUUACACCCCUCACACACUCUGAUACACUCACUCUAAUACACACACACACACUGGGAGAGUUUCCUGGUUGUUGUUCCUGGUAUUAAACCCUGCCUCCCCCCUUAUCUCC